GACGAACGCUGGCGGCGUGCCUAAUACAUGCAAGUCGAACGCAGUGGGGACGGGUGAGUAACACGUGGGUAACCUCCCAUCAGAGGGGAUAACACUUGGAAACAGGUGCUAAACCGAUAUUGAUGGCUUGACCCGCGGUGCAUUAGCCAGUUGGUGAGGUAACGGCUCACCAAGGCCACGAUGCAUAGCCAAACGAAGAGGUUGAUCGGCCACAAUGUGACUGAGACACGGACCAGACUCCUACGGGAGGCAGCAGUAGGGAAUCGUCGGCAAUGGACGAAAGUCUGACCGAGCAACGCCGCGUGAGUGAAGAAGGUUUUCGGAUCGUAAAACUCUGUUGGUAGAGAAGCGGUAUCUAACCAGAAAGCCACGGCUAACUACGUGCCAGCAGCCGCGGUAAUUC
rnacentral:rRNA from 1 species